rnacentral:rRNA from 1 species
UACGGAGGAGGCAAGCGUUAUCCGGAAUUAUUGGGCGUAAAGCGUCCGUAGGUGGCUCUUCAAGUCUGCUGUCAAAGAGUGGGGCUUAACCCUGCAAAGGCAGUGGAAACUGAAAGGCUAGAGAGCCGUAGGGGUAGAGGGAAUUCCCGGUGUAGCGGUGAAAUGCUUAGAGAUCGUCCAGAACACCGAUAGCGAAGGCAGCUUACUAAGGAGUAACUGACGCUGAGGCACGAAAGUGUGGGGAUCAAACAGG